UUGUUUUUAAAAAUCUAGGGGAUUUGCAACAUGAAUCGAGUAUAUAUAAAUGACAAGAGGUUGCGUUGUUUUCAGUCUGAAGUGUGAAUUGAAAACUGAUACUUUGGUGGAAGCAGCUCCAUUAUGAACAGGAUUAUCAUAUUUGCAUUGGUAUCUAUUGGAUUAUCCGUCACAUAUGCAUACA